rnacentral:tRNA from 1 species
AGGGCNGUAGUUCAGAAGGUAGAAUUCUGGUCUAGCAUACCAGAGGUUCAUGGUUUGAUCCCUGGCACCCUCU